CUAAGUUUGAUGGCGACCGGCGCACGGGUGAGUAACACGUAUCCAACCUGCCGAUGACUCGGGGAUAGCCUUUCGAAAGAAAGAUUAAUACCCGAUGGCAUAGUUCUUCCGCAUGGUGGAACUAUUAAAGAAUUUCGGUCAUCGAUGGGGAUGCGUUCCAUUAGGUUGUUGGCGGGGUAACGGCCCACCAAGCCUUCGAUGGAUAGGGGUUCUGAGAGGAAGGUCCCCCACAUUGGAACUGAGACACGGUCCAAACUCCUAGGGGAGGCAGCAUG
rnacentral:rRNA from 1 species